UGGGGAAUUUUGGACAAUGGGCGAAAGCCUGAUCCAGCAAUGCCGCGUGUGUGAAGAAGGCCUUCGGGUUGUAAAGCACUUUUGUCCGGAAAGAAAUCCUUGGCUCUAAUACAGUCGGGGGAUGACGGUACCGGAAGAAUAAGCACCGGCUAACUACGUGCCAGCAGCCGCGGUAAUACGUAGGGUGCAAGCGUUAAUCGGAAUUCUGGGCGUAAAGCGUGCGCAGGCGGUUUGCUAAGACCGAUGUGAAAUCCCCGGGCUCAACCUGGGAACUGCAUUGGUGACUGGCAGGCUAGAGUAUGGCAGAGGGGGGUAGAAUUCCACGUGUAGCAGUGAAAUGCGUAGAGAUGUGGAGGAAUACCGAUGGCGAAGGCAGCCCCCUGGGCCAAAUACUGACGCUCAUGCACGAAAGCGUGGGGAGCAAAACAGGAUUAGAUACCCUGGUAGUCCACGCCCUAAAACGAUGUCAACUAGUUGUUGGGGAUUCAUUUCCUUAGUAACGUAGCUAACGCGUGAAGUUGACCGCCUGGGGAGUACGGUCGCAAGAUUAAAACUUAAAUGAAUUGACGGGGUCAUA
rnacentral:rRNA from 1 species